rfam:Oryctolagus cuniculus chromosome 2, whole genome shotgun sequence.
AAAAAGGAUUUUCUAAAAUCCAUUUUUCUGACCUUUAUCAUAAAAG